rnacentral:rRNA from 1 species
GAUGAACGCUGGCGGCGUGCUUAACACAUGCAAGUCGAACGAUGAAGCCCAGCUUGCUGGGUGGAUUAGUUGCGAACGGGUGAGUAACACGUGAGUAACCUGCCCUUGACUCUGGGAUAAGCCUGGGAAACUGGGUCUAAUACUGGAUAUGACUUCUCAUCGCAUGGUUGGGGGUGGAAAGAUUUAUUGGUCUUGGAUGGACUCGCGGCCUAUCAGCUUGUUGGUGAGGUAAUGGCUCACCAAGGCGACGACGGGUAGCCGGCCUGAGAGGGUGACCGGCCACACUGGGACUGAGACACGGACCAGACUCCUACGGGAGGCAGCAGUGGGGAAUAUUGCACAAUGGGCGCAAGCCUGAUGCAGCGACGCCGCGUGAGGGAUGACGGCCUUCGGGUUGUAAACCUCUUUCAGUAGGGAAGAAGCGAGAGUGACGGUACCUGCAGAAGAAGCGCCGGCUAACUACGUG